rnacentral:rRNA from 1 species
CCCUUAGAUGUCCUGGGCCGCACGCGCGCUACACUGAUGCAUUCAACGAGUUUUUCCUUGGCCGAGAGGCCUGGGCAAUCUUUUGAACGUGCAUCGUGAUAGGGAUAGAUUAUUGCAAUUAUUAAUCUUGAACGAGGAAUUCCUAGUAAACGCAGAUCAUCAAUCUGCAUUGAUUACGUCCCUGCCCUUUGUACACACCGCCCGUCGCACCUACCGAUUGAAUGGUCCGGUGAAGCCUCGGGAUUGUGGUGAGUUCCCUUUAUUGGGAGUUUGUCGCGAGAACUUGUCUAAACCUUAUCAUUUAGAGGAAGGUGAAGUCGUAACA